GGGGGUGCCCCGGAUUCGAUUGCCGGUGAGCGAAAGGAUAAGCAUACCGUAGACGGAGUGACUACGAUAAAACAUUCCACCUAAAUUUAAAUGCAGAUAGAAAUGCAUACGCUCUUGCAGCGUAACUCGUUUUUGUAAAACGAACGUCGCGCCCGAUUUAUCCGUCGGUUGGGGUCGCGGCGUCAAUUAGACGGAAAACUCUUGUAAGAAUCGGAAGGUGUUUUUAUAAGAGUAUUCAGCCUUCUGCGUUUUUUAAAGCGUGUUUACCCGCGUUAGAAAAUUAAGAAAUAAUAGAUAAACUAAGUAUGUAGAAAGUUUUUUGGCAGCCGCGUAAGACGUCGGUUCAACUCCGACCACCUCCACCA
rnacentral:tmRNA from 1 species